CCUACGGGGGGCUGCAGUGGGGAAUAUUGGACAAUGGGGGGAACCCUGAUCCAGCCAUGCCGCGUGUGUGAAGAAGGCCCUCGGGUUGUAAAGCACUUUCAGUGAGGAAGAACGCCUGGUGGUUAAUACCCAUCAGGAAAGACAUCACUCACAGAAGAAGCACCGGCUAACUCCGUGCCAGCAGCCGCGGUAAUACGGAGGGUGCGAGCGUUAAUCGGAAUUACUGGGCGUAAAGCGCGCGUAGGUGGCUUGAUAAGCCGGUUGUGAAAGCCCCGGGCUCAACCUGGGAACGGCAUCCGGAACUGUCAAGCUAGAGUGCAGGAGAGGAAGGUAGAAGUCCCGGUGUAGCGGUGAAAUGCGUAGAGAUCGGGAGGAAUACCAGUGGCGAAGGCGGCCUUCUGGACUGACACUGACACUGAGGUGCGAAAGCGUGGGUAGCAAACAGGAUUAGAUACCCUAGUAGUC
rnacentral:rRNA from 1 species